rnacentral:rRNA from 1 species
AGUGAACGCUGGCGGUAGGCCUAACACAUGCAAGUCGAACGGCAGCACAGUAAGAGCUUGCUCUUACGGGUGGGGAGUGGCGGACGGGUGAGGAAUACAUCGGAAUCUACUUUUUCGUGGGGGAUAACGUAGGGAAACUUACGCUAAUAUCGCAUAUGAUCUACGGGUGAAAGCAGGGGAUCUUCGGACCUUGCGCGAUUGAAUGAGCCGAUGUCGGAGUAGCUAGUUGGCGGGGUAAAGGCCCACCAAGGCGACGAUCCGUAGCUGGUCUGAGAGGAUGAUCAGCCACACUGGAACUGAGACACGGUCCAGACUCCUACGGGAGGCAGCAGUGGGGAAUAUUGGACAAUGGGCGCAAGCCUGAUCCAGCCAUACCGCGUGGGUGAAGAAGGCCUUCGGGUUGUAAAGCCCUUUUGUUGGGAAAGAAAAGCAGCAGGUUAAUACCCCGCUGUUCUGACGGUACCCAAAGAAUAAGCACCGGCUAACUUCGUG